rnacentral:rRNA from 1 species
UACGUAGGGUGCAAGCGUUAAUCGGAAUUACUGGGCGUAAAGCGUGCGCAGGCGGUGAUGUAAGUCAGUUGUGAAAUCCCCGGGCUCAACCUGGGAACUGCAUUUGUGACUGCAUCGCUGGAGUGCGGCAGAGGGGGAUGGAAUUCCGCGUGUAGCAGUGAAAUGCGUAGAUAUGCGGAGGAACACCGAUGGCGGAGGCAAUCCCCUGGGCCUGCACUGACGCUCAUGCACGAAAGCGUGGGGAGCAAACAGG